AGCGAACGCUGGCGGCAGGCUUAACACAUGCAAGUCGAACGGGCACUUCGGUGUCAGUGGCAGACGGGUGAGUAACACGUGGGAACGUACCUUUUGGCUCGGAACAACACAGGGAAACUUGUGCUAAUACCGGCUAAGCCCUUACGGUGAAAGAAUUAGUGACGAAAGAUCGGCCCGCGUCUGAUUAGCUAGUUGGUGGGGUAAUGGCUCACCAAGGCGACGAUCAGUAGCUGGUCUGAGAGGAUGAUCAGCCACAUUGGGACUGAGACACGGCCCAAACUCCUACGGGAGGCAGCAGUGGGGAAUAUUGGACAAUGGGCGCAAGCCUGAUCCAGCCAUGCCGCGUGAGUGAUGAAGGCCCUAGGGUUGUAAAGCUCUUUUGUGCGGGAAGAUAAUGACGGUACCGCAAGAAUAAGCCCCGGCUAACUUCGUGCCAGCCGCCGCCGUAA
rnacentral:rRNA from 1 species